rnacentral:rRNA from 1 species
AUGAAUUGUUUAAGUUGGAACUGUCGAGGGGCGGGGAACCUUCGCACAGUUCGUGAUUUGGUAGCACUUGUGGGUGCUCAUUCCCCGAAAUUCGUUUUCUUGUGUGAAACUAGGCAACCAAAAGAAAAGAUGUAUCGUCUUCGUUCUCGGUUACGUUUACAGGGUUUUGAAGGAGUUAGUAGUGAGGGUCGCAGUGGAGGUCUUGCAUUAUUCUGGCAUGAA